CGGGGCUCAAGUACACCGCCGAAACCGUGGCAUUCAGUUUUGCUGGAUGGGUAGGGGAGCGUCGUUCACGAGGUGAAGCCAGCGGGUAACUUCUGGUGGAUUGUGGACGAGUGAGAAUGCAGGCAUGAGUAGCGAAAGACGGGUGAGAAACCCGUCCGCCGGAUGACUAAGGGUUCCAGGGUCAAGCUAAUCUGCCCUGGGUAAGUCGGGACCUAAGGCGAGGCCGACAGGCGUAGUCGAUGGUCAACGGGUUGAUAUUCCCGUACCCGCGAAGAA
rnacentral:rRNA from 13 species